rnacentral:rRNA from 1 species
AAGCUUGCUUCUCUUGAGAGCGGCGGACGGGUGAGUAAUGCCUAGGAAUCUGCCUGGUAGUGGGGGAUAACGUUCGGAAACGGACGCUAAUACCGCAUACGUCCUACGGGAGAAAGCAGGGGACCUUCGGGCCUUGCGCUAUCAGAUGAGCCUAGGUCGGAUUAGCUAGUUGGUGGGGUAAUGGCUCACCAAGGCGACGAUCCGUAACUGGUCUGAGAGGAUGAUCAGUCACACUGGAACUGAGACACGGUCCAGACUCCUACGGGAGGCAGCAGUGGGGAAUAUUGGACAAUGGGCGAAAGCCUGAUCCAGCCAUGCCGCGUGUGUGAAGAAGGUCUUCGGAUUGUAAAGCACUUUAAGUUGGGAGGAAGGGCAGUUACCUAAUACGUGAUUGUUUUGACGUUACCGACAGAAUAAGCACCGGCUAACUCUGUGCCAGCAGCCGCGGUAAUACAGAGGGUGCAAGCGUUAAUCGGAAUUACUGGGCGUAAAGCGCGCGUAGGUGGUUUGUUAAGUUGGAUGUGAAAUCCCCGGGCUCAACCUGGGAACUGCAUUCAAAACUGACUGACUAGAGUAUGGUAGAGGGUGGUGGAAUUUCCUGUGUAGCGGUGAAAUGCGUAGAUAUAGGAAG